AGAAAAUUUUAUUUUUGUUAUGAAGGACAGCUAUUAAUUAUCUUAAAGACAUUUUUCAGCAUAAUAAAGGCACAGAAGUUAAGUCUUUGUUUGGAAAAUAAAAGCCAUUACUGUUGACGUUUGAUAUUUUACGAAGGCGGGUAAUGGCAGUUAGGAAAACAAACACACAGUAAUUGGAUGAGAAGUGUGUCCACAGAAGCACAUGGCCACAUCUGAUCAUUGCUUGUCCUCCUGCACCUUUGGAGAUCUUCUUGGUGAUCCUCUGUGGAGUCUAAUUUCUCCUGUAAGCCUCGGGCAGACAAGUGUCCUCUUGUGAGCCCCAGCCUCUGUCCUCUUGCCCCAGAUGGACAGAGGUUCUCCCCUGGCCAAGUUCAGGGUCAGAUGUCCCAGCCACAGGAAACACAGGUGCUGGGCUCCACCCCUACAGCUUGGAGGGUUGGGCUGUGACUUGAACUCUUGGCUUAGGGAAUCCCUGGGCUGUUCAAAGGGAAGCUAUUCCCAGUUCCUCCUUUGAACAUUUGGCCCUUUCUCUGCUGCUUCUUUUCCAGGGAAUUUGUUGCAGGAUUCGCACAGUUCAGAGUGUUUAAUAAUGAGAAAGCAGUCAAUGCCCUGUGUGCUGGGGUGAGAGUUACUGGCUGCAACACUGAGAACCACUGCAUCGGUGGAGGAGGAUUCUUCCCGGAGGGCAACCCCAGGCAGUGUGGGGAUUUCUCCUCCUUUGAUUGCAAUGGAUACGGAGCUCACACUGGUUACAGCUGCAGCCGGGAGAUAACUGAGGCAGCCGUGCUCUUGUUCUACAGAUGAGAGCUCUGUGGUGGGAGACCAGGAACCCGGAUACUCCGAAGUGGAAAAGCUGGAACGCUAACAAGGAGGAGAGGAGAAUAAAUUACAUCAAUUUGUGGCUCCA